AUAAUCUGCAAAGACAGCACGGAUUAUAACCCCAAAAUCAAGUUACACUUAGAUGCACAUAGCUAAAGUAUCAGACAGUUGGCACACAAAGCAGGAAGCUAAACCCACAGUAAAUUAACUAACUUGACUGGUAGGCAGAUAGGCUACAGAAAGGGGAGCCUGACAGCAAAGCUUGUCAGUGCCAUUCCACACAGCUGCUGGCUAAGCACAGCUGGCAGCCUUAUGGCUUGCCUGUCUGGAGGUGCUGUGCUGAAAUGAGCUAUGACAUUAGCUGAAAUACAACCGGUGCUCCACAUUCACUCUCUCUGUGCCCCAUGCUAACCACCUCCCAUACAGAAUAGCUGCUGUGUUAGCUGUCCCAGGCCCUUUCCCUAAGCAGACAAGCCCUUAACAGAUAUAGAGCAGAGCCUAGGGCUAAUCUUAAAAGGCAGAAACAUAUGGUGUGGACUAGAAAGCAAAGGAAAAACAAUAAAUGCAAUUAUUGUCCCGGAAUGUCAUUGGGGCUUUAGCUACACCCUGCUGCUUUAGGGACUGCCAAGUAACAGGGCUGAAAAUCAAAGGGAAAUUAAAGUAAGCAAUGUUACCUCCUCUUUCAGGAGUCUUGUUUAAAAUGAUAGUGGCAUUGCUCUUCUCACCCUAAUUAAUUUCCUAUUGUAGAUGCCUGGCUUUAGAGGUUAUAAUUCUUUUGAAGCCUAGAGCAAAUAAUUAAAAACUUAAUUAAAGACUCAGAUCCACAAGAAGAAUAACAAGGGAGAGAGCGUUUCUUCUGGCUCAAGGAAUCCACUUUUUGCUCACAGCCAAGUGGUGUUUCCCAGAGAACUUUGUGUCACAAAGGCCAAGAGAAGCCUGCCUGUGUGGGACAAGGAAACAGCAGGUACCCACCAUGCUGCUUCUGCAGUGGCAAUACCUCCUUUGAGGUAUUCAAGAACUAUGGAGAUGUGGCACUGAUGGACAUGAUCAACCGAGCAGUUCUCACUUGAGAUAUUUGGAAACAUCUACCUCAGAAGGGCCUGGAGAGGGAAGAAGCGCGAGGGGAAAUACAAUGCAGACCCAAGUAAUGAGUAGCAGCAGUCUCCCAUCGAGGUACCAGGACCUGUUGGAAAAG